rnacentral:rRNA from 1 species
CAGAGGGUGCAAGCGUUAAUCGGAAUUACUGGGCGUAAAGCGCGCGUAGGUGGUUUGUUAAGUUGGAUGUGAAAUCCCCGGGCUCAACCUGGGAACUGCAUCCAAAACUGGCAAGCUAGAGUACGGUAGAGGGUGGUGGAAUUUCCUGUGUAGCGGUGAAAUGCGUAGAUAUAGGAAGGAACAUCAGUGGCGAAGGCGACCACCUGGACUGAUACUGACACUGAGGUGCGAAAGCGUGGGGAGCAAAACAGGAUU